rnacentral:tRNA from 1 species
UUAGAAAAGUAGGAAUCGAACCUACACAUAGAGAUCAAAGCCCUUCAUACUUCCUUUAUAUUAUUUCCU